UUGUAUUCCUCCGUACAAUUGGAAGGUAGUAGAUUCCUGAACUUUUUUGUCAAUGGUUUGGUGGAAUAUCCAUCAUGUGUCGUAUUUGCGAUUUUGAUGAACACGAACAGCAUCAGCAGAAAAAAGUUAACUAUAGGCUUCCAUUUGCUGGCUGGUAUACCAAUGAUACUGUCUGUUGUAUUGAUUAGUUUUAGAGAGAAACAUGAAAUAUUUGUAAAGCUGGCCAUCGCCUGUAGUUUUAUAGCCAAAACAGGUAUAGCAGGUUCCUACAAUGCAAUAUUCAUAUAUACACCAGAGACAUUUCCUACAAA